CACUUUUCCAAACCGAAGAUGUCGAUUCUCCCAGUCUCAUUCCUCAGCUCUCGCCAGUUGUAAAGUCCGUCGUCUCUCGCUGUUCAAGAUCUGUGGUGCUUCAUCUCCUUAAACGACGAGAUUCUACUCAGAACAAGGGUUGGUGGAGCGAAGGUUUUGAGUAUGGGCUAUGGAUUGGGAAGACGAUGCACAAAGAAGAAGAAGAAGAAUUAAAAAAAAAAUUCCAAUGAGUUCAUAAAGAACAUACCUGAAGUUCCUAUUUCCGAGAUACAGGGGUCAACUUAUCUCCUGCUCUGGCAAUCUUCGCUUCACUGUUCGUGCUACUUCAUUGUUCCACUUCUUGAUUCAUGUAUCAUAACUCAUGCUGAUGAUGCCCGUCACUUGAGUAGUCUGCAGGUAUAUAUUUUUUCAGCUGUCUAUUUUUGCAAGUAUGUAUCUAUCUGUAAAUUUUUUUUAAGGAACUAAUCACUACCUGAAUCAUUUGCUUUAUUUUUCUGUAUAACCUUAAAUAUGCAGUCCCUACAAAAUUUCAAGUUCAUGACUAGCAAUGCAGACAUUUUAUGAUUUAUUUUCAGUCCCCAUAAGAUGCAAAAGACACAGUUUUACUUCAAUGAGAAUUUAGGACCAGCUUACCCUAAAAGGAAGACUAGAGGAUUCGUAAGCUUACUGAUGAACUGUUUUGGAAUCUCUUGGAACAUCACCAAAAUAAGGCAGCAUCAAAUUUUGUGUUAACGCUUCUGUUACCCCUCAUUAGUAACUUUGACUGACUCAGUGGAUUCUCCACAGGACAUUUUGAUACAUACUCCAGUUACUCAUUGAUUUAUGGGUCUGUGUAUAUUUUGGCUUGAUUUUUGUCUUUCUUCAAUUGAUGUUUGGCACAUGUUAUCUCAAACUUGAACACAAAAAUAUCUUGCAAGUAGUUGCUAUGACAAUUUUGCAAUUGUCUUCUUCUACAACUAAAGCUCCUGCUUCACUAGAAUCUUGCAGGAAGUUGCUAUGACAAUUUUUCAAUUAUUAGCUAUAUGCACAAUAAUUUUGUAUUAGCCAAUUAAGAGAGUCUUUUGUUCAUGGUAAAAAAGGUGCAUGAAGAAAGUAGGACCUGUUAAAAUCAUUGCAUAGUUUAAUUUGAACCACCUCUUUAUCCAAUGGUAGGCUUUAUAUGUUGUACUUUUUCCUGUUAGUAUUAACUGUCUCUUUUACUUGCACAACUUUCAUUUGAACUUGUGAUUUUAGUUUCUUAAUCACUCUUGCCGAAGGUAAAGAGCAGAGACUUAGCCUAGCUUUUGGUCAUACCUAUUUUUACAUCAAAAUAUAAUAACAUUCUUUUCAGGAGCAACUCAUCUCUUCUUUGGCAAUUAAAAUUUCUGAAAUCGUAUGUUGGUAAGAUUUUGCUGGUGCUAUAAAACUCUAGAGGUUUUAAUUUGUUCUACUAUUAUGUUGUUAUUUUAUUUUGAUUUUAGAAUCUGUUUGUUAAUCUUUUAAACAGCUCAUGCUUAGUCUGUGCUAUUAUGCACGAAACAUUCUUGAAUCUUUGACAUUUGAUAUGUAUCUGAUGUUGCAUUUAGAGAUUUUAUACGGACCUAUGGGAACCAAUAUGCUUGCAUUGAUGAGCGUAAACUUCUUAUCAAUCGAUCAGUUUUUAAAGAUGGUGGAAAGGAAGAGAGAAAGUAGGACCCAACAUCAUUAGCCAUGAAAUGUUAUUUUGUUAGGACAUAAUCUUGUGCAUCAAUUGAUGAGUGGGAUUCUUAAAAAUUAUCAAUAUUUGGCAAGUCAAUUCUUGAAGUUCGAUCUUUAUUUAUGCAUGCUCACACAUUACCCAGCUGGGACAAGUUUAUGGCUUCAUAGAUGCUAUUUUUAGUUUUAUAUCUUAUGUUCUUCUUCCCUUCUACACCAAAAACAGUUGAUCCAAGUUACUGACAUCAAGUAUUUUGUCCUCAACCUUAACAGUUGAUAUUGGCAUGGAAUAUGUGGAUGUUCAAACAAUUAAAGAUGUUUUUUUUUCAAGUAUGAUCAAUUAUUUUGUCACCUGUAUAUGGACUUUUUUUACCCCUUUUCUGUGUAUGAGAAAACUGAGUUAUGUUUUCAUUUCCUUGUAGGAUGAAAAUGAUGAAAUUGUUUAUCACAAUGGAAAAGCACAUAUUCAUACUGAUGAAACUGGAUUUAUUUCUAAGGAUUUAGUUGUGCUUUGCCCUAGAAAUGUGUUUAUAACAACAUACUCCUAUUUUUAUCGGUAUUACCCAUGUGCUUUCUUCAUAGAUGACAAUAAUGCAAAUGCUUGGAAAAUUGUUCCUGUAUUACUCAUGCUAACUCAGAUAUCAGCAAAGGGGUCAGUGGCUGCAUCAUCUGGUUGGGAGAUCUAAAUGUAGAAGACAGGUUUCAGCUGCUGGGCGAGAUCUAUAUAUAUAUCCGAUUGGCUGUUUCUGAAAUAUGUUUGAUCCUUUAUCGGUCAUAUGCUGAUUAUCUUUUGACAGCUUAACUACUUUAUUUUUCUGUGCAUUGAUUGUUAAUUUGAUUAAGUGUAAAGCUAACCUUGAAGAUAUGCAUUUGUUUUGUUCUGAUCAUGUGGAAAUUUUUAGUAGUUGAUUGUCUAAUUGUCUUCUCUGUAUUGAACUCCCAUUUUCCAUUACCCAAUGAUAUGUUUGUGGUAGAUUUAAGUUUCAAGGUUUAA